CGGCAGGCCUACACAUGCAACUCGAACGGUAGCACAGAGAGCUUGCUCUCGGGUGACGAGUGGCGGACGGGUGAGUAAUGUCUGGGAAACUGCCUGAUGGAGGGGGAUAACUACUGGAAACGGUAGCUAAUACCGCAUAACGUCGCAAGACCAAAGAGGGGGACCUUCGGGCCUCUUGCCAUCAGAUGUGCCCAGAUGGGAUUAGCUAGUAGGCGGGGUAAUGGCCCACCUAGGCGACGAUCCCUAGCUGGUCUGAGAGGAUGACCAGCCACACUGGAACUGAGACACGGUCCAGACUCCUACGGGAGGCAGCAGUGGGGAAUAUUGCACAAUGGGCGCAAGCCUGAUGCAGCCAUGCCGCGUGUGUGAAGAAGGCCUUCGGGUUGUAAAGCACUUUCAGCGGGGAGGAAGGCRGUMCGGUUAAUAACCGUGCUGAUUGACGUUACCCGCAGAAGAAGCACCGGCUAACUCCGUGCCAGCAGCCGCGGUAAUACGGAGGGUGCAAGCGUUAAUCGGAAUUACUGGGCGUAAAGCGCACGCAGGCGGUCUGUCAAGUCGGAUGUGAAAUCCCCGGGCUCAACCUGGGAACUGCAUUCGAAACUGGCAGGCUGGAGUCUCGUAGAGGGAGGUAGAAUUCCAGGUGUAGCGGUGAAAUGCGUAGAGAUCUGGAGGAAUACCGGUGGCGAAGGCGGCCUCCUGGACGAAGACUGACGCUCAG
rnacentral:rRNA from 1 species